CUAAAAGAACAGUAUUAUAUUACAUAUUAAAUAUUAUACUUCUGCUUGUAGUUUUUUUAGCAUUACACUUUUGGUAUCAUAUGCGACCGAAUAUAGGCACAUAACUCACAGAACAGUUUUUUUCGGUGUUUUGGUUGAGUUUUGGCGGUUAUCAAAUAGUGGUUAGAAGUUAGAAUGUAAAAUGUUGUUUUAGGUCGUUUUGGUUUACGAUGUAUGUGGACGAUAUUAAAAAAGACUUCUAUGAAUUUUUAUCUGGAAAGAGAAUAUUUCUUCUAAUUCAUUACGACAUUGACAGUAUCUGUUCCUGUAAAAUUUUACAAUAUUUAUUGAGAUACAAACACAUAUUGUACACCCUAUCAGUUGUCCGAGGAAUCGAAGAUCUGAAAUCAGCGUAUAAAGAAAAUUGUAACGAUGUGAAAUAUUUCAUCUUGAUUAACUGUGGAGGAACGAUUGACAUUGUAGAAGAGCUUGAAGCUGAGGAUGAUGUUACGUUUUUCAUUUUGGACAGUCACAGGCCUAUAGAUUUAUGUAACAUUUAUAGUAAUGGACAAGUUAGGCUGCUGUCCACUCCCGAAGAAGAUUCAGCAGUUCCUGAAUUCCAUGACAUCUUCAAAGAAGAAUCUGAUGAAGAAGGAGAUUCAGAAGAAGAAGGAAGUAGUGACGGCGAAGGGAGGGCGGCUAAACGGAGAAGAUUAGAUGAAGCAGAAAUAAUCAAAAGAAGAGAACGAAGACUGUGGGAAGACAAUCGCAAUAAAUUACUAUUUGAAUAUUCCCAGUUCACCUACUAUGCCAGGGCAAGUGCUAUAAGAAUUUUUGAGUUAGCAUGGAAGCUGAACAAGGAUGACAAAGAUCUACUUUGGCUGGCCAUAGUAGCUCUAACGGAACAAUUGAUUUUAGGAAAGAUUGAAAAUACCCAGUAUACUUUAGAAAUAGGACCACUUCAAUCGCAUGCCACUAGGUUACAGAACAAGACGAAUGACACUGACGUCUUGACAUCACUUAAAAUCUCAUUCGAAAAUGAUUUGAGGCUUACACUUUAUCGACACUGGUCUGUCGAAUCUAGUUUGAAAUACUCCAUGUUCCCGGCAGUCAAAAUGAGGUUGUUGAAAGGUGAAAAGAAGUUACAUGAGUUACUCGCCGAUAUGGGUUUUCCAUUGAUUCAAAGUAGACAGUCCUUCAAGAGCAUGGAUUUACAGUUGAGGAAAGAAUUUCACAAAUGUGUAGAAAAGUUUUCUGAGAAAUAUGGUUUACAAGACAUUGUUUAUGCAUCAUUUGUACUACAGUAUGGAUAUAGGGAUAAAUAUUGUGCGUCUGACAUUGUUUAUGCUUUGUUAGCAAUACUCGAAUCAUCACCUCGUGAUAAAAAGCCGGAAGAGCUUUUCAACCUCGCUCUUGAUUGUCUCACCAGAACAAAGAAGACUGCUUUGCAUGGAGCCAUUGAAAUGGCAAAAGAUGUCACCAAAAUUCUCUUCAAAACAGUGAAAAGUGCAUUAGAUAUGAAGCAAAUAAUCACAGCUGGGCCAUUCAUUUACCAUAUUGUGCAAGAGGGCAGCAUCGAUGGGUAUAUGUUCUCUCAGCUUCAUAUAUUGUCACUUCUGGCUCAAUUUUUAUUGAAAGCGUAUGUGUCCAUGUCCAGAAACCGUAAGGCGUCAACUUUACCUCUUAUUGUUUCUGCUCCAAAGAAUAUGGAAACAGGAACUUGUAUCAUACUUGGAAUUCCCCCUCUUUGUGAAAACUCGCCAAAAAAGUAAUUUUUUUGGAAAAGCAUUUGAACAAGCAGCAGAACGAAUAAAUUGUGAUGCCACGUGCGAUUAUUUCGACACUUCCUAUUUUGAAAUACACACGAAGGAUAGGACUAGAUUUUUCGAUGCACUUACAGCUUUAUUAGGCUGACAUCUUGAAGAUAUUUUGAUUUUCAAUUUAGUACAAAGUUUUAAAUUGAGUGUAAAAAAAUCACCAUGUAAAUAAAUAGAAUAGGAGUAUUUAUUGAAUAGUGUAUAUAUUUUUCUACUACUGAAUUGUUGUAUAUUGUGUGAUUUGAUUAAAAAACAAAGUUAAGCAAUAAA